CAUCAAUUACGAAAAGCUUGGGGGAGUUGAAGAAAAGCAUAGAUCCAAAGAUACCCGAAUAGGUAAACCUUUUGUAAAACUAUAUGCUUAAUGAAUAGGCAGAUAAGAGAUAACUUAGCGAACUGAAACAUCUUAAUAGCUAGAGGAAAAGAAAGCAAUAAGCGAUUCCCUAAGUAGUGGUGAGCGAAAUGGGAAGUAGCCUAAACCGUAAAAGGGGUUGUGGGGGAGCAAAUAAAAAACCCUGAUAUUGAAUCGAAGCAGUAGAGUACUGCACCAUAGAUGGUGAGAGUCCAGUAGAUAAAAGAUAAAAGAUAAGUAGCUUAUGCUCUAUGCUCUAACCCGAGUAGCGUGGGACACGUGAAAAUCCCUCGCGAAUUUGCAAGGACCACCUUGUAAGGCUAAAUACUCUUUUGGGUGACCGAUAGUAAAGUAAGUACCGUGAGGGAAAGGUGAAAAGAUCCUUUAGGGGAGUGAAAUAGAAUAUGAAACUGAAAGCUUUCAAGCAGUGGGAGGAAUAUAAUAUUUCUGACCGCGUGCCUUUUGAAGAAUGAGCCGACGACUCAUAUGCAGUGGCUUGGUUAAGGUAAAAAAAAGCUGUAUCCGUAGCAAAAGCGAGUCUUAAUAGGCGAUAAAAUUGUCAUUGUUUAUGGACCCGAACCUGGGUGAUCUAUCCAUGACCAGGAUGAAUCUUGGUUAAAACUAAGGCGAGGUCCGAACCAACUAAUGUUGAAGAAUUAGUGGAUGAGUUGUGGUUAGGGGUGAAAUGCCACUCGAACCUAGAGCUAGCUGGUUCUCCCCGAAAUGCGUUGAGGCGCAGCAGUUGACUAUAUAUCUAGGGGUAAAGCACUGUUUUGAUGUGGACCGAUUCUUGGUGUCACCAUCUAGACAAACUCUGAAUACUAGAUUUGAUAAAAAAAAAAUAUAAAAGGAUUAAAGUCAACUAGUGAGACAGUGAGGGAUAAGCUUCAUUGUCAAAAGGGAAACAGCCCAGAUCACUAGCUAAGGCCCUUAAAUGACCGCUCAGUGAGAAAGGAAGUGGGAAGUGCAGAGACAGUCAGUAGGUUGGCCUAGAAGCAGCAACCCUUUAAAGAGUGCGUAAUAGCUCACCGAUCAAGCGCUCUCGCGCCUAAGAUGAAUGGGACUAAGCGGUCUGCCGAAGCUGUGGGAUUUUUUUUUAUUUUGAAAAAUUUUUCGGUAGGGGAGCGUUCCGCCUUAGAGAGAAAUAUCUGCUUAAGCAAGGUGUAGACGAAGCGGAAGCGAUAAUGUCGGCUUGAGUAACGAAAACAUUGGUGAGAAUCUAAUGCCCCGAAAACCUAAGGGUUCCUCUAUAAGGGUCGUCCGCGGAGGGUUAAUCAGGACCUAAGAUCAUGUCAAAAGGCGUCGUUGAUGGUUAACAGGUAAAAAAAUAUUCCUGUAUUAUCUUUUUUUGUCUUGAGGGACGGAGGAGGCUCGGUUAGCCAAUAUUUUUGGUUAUUGGUUAAAGGGGUAAGGUGAACCCCUAAAAUAGGGUUAAGAAAAGAGGUAGAGUAAAUAUCUCGAGCUAAUACCUGAAUACGACGUGCUUUGACGCUGAAGUAACCUAUGUCAUACUCCCAGGAAAAGCUCGAAAAAUAGUUAAAAAAGAAAAGAACCUGUACCCAAAACCAACACAGGUAGGUAGGUUGAGAAUACCUAGGGGCGCGAGACAACUCUCUCUAAGGAACUCGGCAAAAUAGCCCCGUAACUUCGGGAUAAGGGGUGCCUCUUCAAAAAGAGGUCGUAGUGUCCAGGCCCGGGCGACUGUUUAACAAAAACACAGGUCUCCGCAAAGUCAUAAGACCAUGUAUGGGGGCUGACGCCUGCCCAGUGCCGUAAGGUUAAAGAAGUUAGUGGCCUGAUUACAGGGUAGCUGACUACCUAAGCCCCGGUGAACGGCGGCCGUAACUAUAACGGUCCUAAGGUAGCGAAAUUCCUUGUCGGGUAAGUUCCGACCCGCACGAAUGGCGUAACGAUCUGGGCGCUGUCUCGGAGAGAGACUCGGUGAAAUAGACCUGUCUGUGAAGAUGCGGACUACCUGUACCUGGACAGAAAGACCCUAUGAAGCUUUACUGUUCCCUAGGAUUGCUUUUUAGCCCUUCUUGCGCAGCUUAUAGGUGGAAGGCAUCACACAUAUUAUGGUAAAAAAUAAUGAGCCGUUAGUGAGAUACCACUCGGAAAGAGCUAUAAUUCUAACCUUGUGUCAUAAAAUAGGGCCAAGGGACAGUCUCAGGUAGACAGUUUAUAUGGGGCGUAGGCCUCCUAAAAAGUAACGGAGGCGUGCAAAGGUUUCUUUUAGCCAGACGGAAAUUGGCUUAGAAGUGCAAAGGCAUAAAGAAGCUUGACUGCAAGACCUACCUGUCAAGCAGGGACAAAAGUCGGCCUUAGUGAUCCGAUGAUACCGCGUGGAAGGGUCAUCGCUCAACGGAUAAAAGUUACUCUAGGGAUAACAGGCUGAUCUUCCCCAAGAGUUCACAUCGACGGGAAGGUUUGGCACCUCGAUGUCGGCUCAUCGCCACCUGGCGCUGUAGUCUGUUCCAAGGGUUGGGUUGUUCGCCCAUUAAAGCGGUACGUGAGCUGGGUUCAGAACGUCGUGAGACAGUUCGGUCCAUAUCCGGUAUAGGCGUUAGAGCAUUGAAAGGACUUUUCCCUAGUACGAGAGGACCAGGAAGAACGCACCUCUGAUGUACCAGUUAUCGUGCCAUCGGUAAACGCUGGGUAGUCAAGUGCGGAGUGGAUAACUGCUGAAAGCAUCUAAGUAGGAAGCCCACCUCAGGAUGAUUGCUCUCUU
rnacentral:rRNA from 1 species